UACAGAGGUCUCAAGCGUUGUUCGGAUUCAUUGGGCGUAAAGGGUGCGUAGGUGGCGCCGUAAGUCGGGUGUGAAAUUUCGGAGCUUAACUCCGAAACUGCAUUCGAUACUGCGGUGCUUGAGGACUGGAGAGGAGACUGGAAUUCAUGGUGUAGCAGUGAAAUGCGUAGAGAUGUGGAGGAACACCGAUGGCGAAGGCAACCCCCUGGGACGAUACUGACGCUGAGGCACGAAAGCGUGGGGAGCAAACAGG
rnacentral:rRNA from 1 species